rnacentral:rRNA from 1 species
AACGCGAAGAACCUUACCCAGGCUUGACAUCCUUGGAAGCUUUUCGAAAGAAAAGUGUGCUUUUUUGAGCCAAGUGACAGGUGAUGCAUGGCCGUCGUCAGCUCGUGUCGUGAGAUGUUUGGUUAAGUCCAUCAACGAGCGCAACCCUUAUGUUUAGUUGAAUUUCUCUAAACAGACUGCCCUGGCAACAGGGAGGAAGGAGGGGAUGAUGUCAGGUCAGUAUUUCCCUUACGUCUGGGGCUACAAACACGCUACAAUGGCCGGUACAAAGGGCAGCCAAGUCGCAAGACGGAGCAAAUCCCAUCAAAGCCGGUCCCAGUUCGGAUUGUAGGCUGAAACUCGCCUGCAUGAAGUCGGAAUCGCUAGUAAUGGUAGGUCAGCUAUACUACCGUGAAUACGUUCCCGGGCCUUGUACACACCGACGCGUA